rnacentral:rRNA from 1 species
UACGGAGGGUGCAAGCGUUGCUCGGAAUUAUUGGGCGUAAAGGGUAGGUAGGUGGUCUCAUUUGUCUGGGGUGAAAGCCUUGAGCUUAACUCAAGAAGUGCCCCAGAAACGGUGAGACUAGAGUCCUGGAGAGGGUCGUGGAAUUCCCGGUGUAGCGGUGAAAUGCGUAGAGAUCGGGAGGAACACCAGAAGCGAAAGCGGCGACCUGGACAGGUACUGACACUCAACUACGAAAGCGUGGGGAGCAAACAGG